CAAAGGCUUGGUCCUGACUUUACCCUCAGUUUUAGCUAAACUUACACAUGCAAGUAUCCGCACCCCCGUGAGAAUGCCCAUGUCCCCCCGCCCGGGAACAAGGAGCUGGUAUCAGGCACAAUUAUUUUGAGCCCAUAACACCUUGCUAAGCCACACCCCCAAGGGAACUCAGCAGUGACAAACAUUAAGCUAUAAGUGAAAACUUGACUUAGUUAGAGCUAAUAAGAGCCGGUAAAACUCGUGCCAGCCACCGCGGUUAUACGAGAGGCUCGAAUUGAGAGACAACGGCGUAAAGGGUGGUUAAGACAAAAUUCAAACUAAGGUCAAAUAUUUUCAAAGCUGUUAUACGCAACCGAAAACAAGAAGCCCGCCCACGAAAGUAGCCUUAAUUGUUCUGAAUCCACUAAAUCUAGGGUACAAACUGGGAUUAGAUACCCCACUAUGCCUAGUCAUAAACAUUGAUAGUACUUUUAUGCCUUCUAUCCGCCAGGGAACUACGAGCAUCAGCUUAAAACCCAAAGGACUUGGCGGUGCUUAAGACCCACCUAGAGGAGCCUGUUCUAGAACCGAUGAUCCCCGUUCAACCUCACCCCCCCUUGUUCAUUCCGCCUAUAUACCGCCGUCGUCAGCUUACCCUGUGAAGGGUAAAUAGUAAGCAAAAUUGGUAAAACCCAAAACGCCAGGUCGAGGUGUAGCGCAUGGGAGGGGAAGAAAUGGGCUACAUUCCCUAAAUUAGGGCACACGAAAGGCAAAUUGAAAUAUCUGCCCGAAGGUGGAUUUAGAAGUAAGUGGGAGCUAGAGAACCCCACUGAAACCGGCCCUGAAGCGCGCACACACCGCCCGUCACUCUCCCCGAACAUACGCAUAAUACCCACUAAUUAAAGCCCUAGUAAUACAAAGGGGAGGCAAGUCGUAACAUGGUAAGUGUACCGGAAGGUGCACUUGGACAAAC
rnacentral:ncRNA from 1 species